UCCACUGUGAGUAGUUCUUCACAAGUUCUUUGGCCCAAUAUUGUAAAGAUGCAGGCCUUUGGACCUUAAAAUUCUGCAGUAUCUGGUCCUCACUUUUGAUAGCAAGAGUUGGUGGGAGCGCUGGGACUCUGCACUGUUUUCUUUUCAGUAUAUACAACCACAAACACAGAUUCCAGAUGAAUGAUGAAAAUUACUGAUGAAAACUGAUCAACUGUAAUUAUAUUUCUAAUUAAACUGAACUUAGUUGCUUAAUUAAGCAAACAAGAAUACGAACAUUUGAUGCAUUGGUUUCAAAAAUUUACCUGAGAUCAAAUCAAAAUGCUACUGAAUGAACGACCACCACCUCUGAUGUAUAAAAAAGGAUUGUUGCUUUAAGACAACACAUGAAGAUAUGAAAUAAAGUUGUCUCUAUCAUC